CCAAGGCAACCGCAGGUCCCUGCUUCCCCUCGCCCAACCCCCAACCCCACAUCCUCCCACCACAGCUUUCUUCCUCUGUCACCUGGAGUCAGGAUGGGAGCCGGAGUCUAGGCUCACUUCUGGGAGCAGUCAGGAGGGAGCAGCCCUGAGAGGGCAGAGACACCCAAAACUCAGGAAUCGAAACGGGGUCCUGGCAGGAGGGCUCCAGCUCUGAAGGAUCCAGAAAUCCAGUUGGGGGAAUGUGGGGAGACUCCAAGGCCACCCGGUGCCCGCAUGAGGAGCAAGGCCCAAAAAGGCGAAGGCUGGCCCGAGGCCACACAGUCUGCCUGCAGCAGAACCAGGGCUAGAACCAGGGGACUUCACUUUCUCCCACCCGUCUAUCCCGGCGGCUGCCCUGUGCUUUGCAGACAUUCUCGGGGUCGGACUCCUCCAGUCUAGACUCUCGCUAACUGGUCCAAGGUCACAGGACCAGGGAAGCUGUGAGAACCUGGGCCAGGAGCAGCCGGCAGGGACUCCACAGGGUGAGGACACCAGCACACAGCGUCCUCCUCCGCGGAGCUGCACUUGGCGUCCCAGCUUGGAGAAUACACUAGUCCUCCUGGAACAAACAACAAGGGACGUCAGAGGCAGGACGACACUAGUAAUGUGAACCCCAACCCCUCUUUGUGGCUGUGGGCCCAGGCCUCUAACAAGGACUUCAACAUGACCUGUGCUGUAGAAGUAUUGUUACCGCAUUUUAGCUGGGAAAAAAAAGAGGAGGAAGAAAACAUGUGAUUUACAACAGCCACAGAGGGUGAGGUGGAGCUGGGAUUUGAAGCUGUUGGCCACAGGAAGACCUGGAGGUUUGGGCUGAGAGCUUGGUGCCUAAGCCAGGGAUGUGGUCCCAGGAGGAGGACCUGGUCCUGGGCUACACUUAAAGAGGAUUGAGGCUGGUCUCCUGCGCUGCACCGUACCAGCCCUGCAAGAGCAGCAGACCUGGCUUAAGUUACUACUCCAAGGCACGGUUGGGAACUGAGCCCUAGAGAAGUCAGAGGUUUGCCAGAGGUCACAGAGCAAGUCCAUGAAGAAGCUUGGGCCUAUGCCUGACCACAUCCUCCUACCCCUAGCCAGGACAAGCGCCUAGCAGCCCUGUAUGCUGGGGACACUUCAGGGCAGGAAGGAGUGAAGAAAAGGGAAAGCAGUUUCAGGGCACAUGCCAGAGGCCUGCUCUCUGGCGGGGUGGCGGGGGGGACUCCUGACUGCUCCUGAGCCCCUCAAGCCAGGGGCAAGCACCCCAGCCCUGACAUUGGACCACUGUGUCCUGGGGCCUCCACAACAUUUGCUCUAGGCGGCAGCACCCUCGUGUGGCUACAGCCCGGCUUUCAAUGAGGACCAAAGGAAUCACCAUGGUGAACAUUGCUCUGCAAACUGCGAAGACUGUGACCAGGUAACUGCAUGAGGGAUAACUGCAUGAGGGAUGCCCCAGCAGGAUGCUGGAAGAGACCAGGAGUCUAGGUACCCAGUCAAGCAUCCUUGGAGCAGGCCAGGUAGCAGCAGCAAGCAGUGGUAGCCUAAUGCAGAGCCCAGAACACAGCCUGCUCAGUGGAACCUGGACCUGAAGCAGGAAGGGGGUUCAUGUGAAGAGCUGAGGGGGAAGCCACAGGCCCAGAGCUGACCCAGACUUGCACCAGAGCCCAAAAUCUCGGUUCCAGAUCUCUAACAGGGAGAAUCACCUUCCUUGCAGGAAGGGCUGCUACAAGAACAGUUGGGAGCCCACCUGGAAACUGUCUGGGCAGCAUAGGCUUGCAGUUAAUGACAUCAGAUUUGCUUCCAUAAAAACCAAGGAUUGCUUUCUUCACCAAAACUUGUGAACAACUGUUGGACAGGUUACAGGAAGGGAAAAGCAAAGCAUUUUCAUUUUGUACCAAGACCGCAUCUUGUUUCCCCUGGUUGGCAAACUUACUGAAAUAAAGCUCCCCACCCCCCG